UACGUAGGGCGCAAGCGUUGUCCGGAAUUAUUGGGCGUAAAGAGCUCGUAGGCGGCCUGUCGCGUCUGCUGUGAAAUCCCGGGGCUCAACCCCGGGCGUGCAGUGGAUACGGGCUGGCUGGAGGCAGGCAGGGGAGAACGGAAUUCCUGGUGUAGCGGUGAAAUGCGCAUAUAUCAGGAGGAACACCAAUGGCGAAGGCAGCUCGCUGGGACGGUACUGACGCUGAGGCGCGAAAGCGUGGGGAGCGAACAGG
rnacentral:rRNA from 1 species